UACAGAGGUCCCGAGCGUUGUUCGGAUUCACUGGGCGUAAAGGGUGCGUAGGCGGUCGGGUAAGUCUGAUGUGAAAUCUCACAGCUUAACUGUGAAACUGCAUUGGAUACUAUUCGGCUUGAGGUCCGGAGGGGGGACUGGAAUUCUCGGUGUAGCAGUGAAAUGCGUAGAUAUCGAGAGGAACACCAGUGGCGAAGGCGAGUCCCUGGACAGGUCCUGACGCUGAGGCACGAAGGCUAGGGGAGCAAACAGG
rnacentral:rRNA from 1 species